UCUAUAUGGCAAUAUAUUUUGCAUUCAUAAUGGAACACACUAAAGUCAUUACUUUUGAUGUUUCCAUCCAAAUAUCUCUUUAAUCAUAAUAAAGAGAUAUCUGAUUAUCUCUUCAUUCAUAAUGAAGAAAUAUCCAAUUAUGGAUUAGAUUCAUAAUCUAAUACAUUUACGCUUCCAUUACGUUACUCUAAUUCUUCCUCAUUCUUUGAGGAAUCUAUCCUUUAGUAUUUCUUAAAUACUUAAGGACUCACUUGACAGUUGCUGUGGUUUUGAUCCUGGGCUUGCAUUGAUAUCGUCUUGUACCUUUCUAGGUACAACUCAUAUCAAUGUUUUUCAUACAAUAUGAAAUACAUAAAUCACCUCUAUGCGUAUGCAUAAAGGAUUCUAUUUACGCAUUAUUUCUUUGGGAGUCAAAGGGUACGUUCCCUUUGAGAAGGGCAACUUGCUAGUCUCACUAGAGUCGUCCUUCUAAUUGAAGUUUAUCAUCAUAUGAGAAACUUCCUAGCAUCUCUUGUCUAUUAUUAGGGCUUGAUAUAAUCCAAUUAUAUCCUAAAAUCUAUCAAUAUAGAUUUCCAUCCCAUGUAUAUAGAUUAUGUCUCCCAUAUACAUUCUAUCUUCAUAUAAUGUUUUUUAAGUCAUAACUUUAACUAAGAAGUAUUCUUUUCAUUUCCAAAAUUAAUAUAUCAUAUAUUUGUAUAUAUAUAUAUAUAUAUAUUCAAAUUUAGGAACAUGAUUAACUCCCACUAAUCUUUUGUAAACCUAGUAAACAAAAGAUUCAUUUACAUCUUUAUGAGAAAUCAAACGUUUUGAUCUUUCUCUCAUAAGACGUUUACAACUCCCACUAGCUUGCUAAGAUCCAUGAUGAUUGGAUCUCUACAACUUACAUGUCUUGUGAUUCAUAGUUUUAGACAUAUAUUAUCAAGACUAUCUUAAUAAUGGUUUCGGAAACCUAUAUUAUGUCCAAACAUUGAAUCACCAUUUAGUUGUAGCUAGCAAUCUUCGAAUUAAUUGAAAACAAGACUACGUCAAAGAUGGUUUCUUCAAAGUCAACCAUUCUCUUUGAUUGUAGUCACCUUAAGCUACCAAUUAGCUUUUUAAGGUUUCAUUAUUUCGGGUCAAAUGGUACUUUACCAUUUCCUUGAGUAUAUAUCGUAUAUACACUUAAUGUAGUCAUAAGGAUUUUCAUUCUUAUUUCUUUCGAAUUAAGAGGUGUAACUCUAUGACAUAGUCAUAAAGU
rnacentral:lncRNA from 1 species